UACGAAGGACCCGAGCGUUAUCCGGAUUUAUUGGGUUUAAAGGGUGCGUAGGCGGAUUUACAAGUCAGUGGUGAAAUCUCCCAGCUUAACUGGGAAACUGCCAUUGAAACUGUUUAUCUUGAGUACAUUUGAGGCGGGCGGAAUGUGUCAUGUAGAGGUGAAAUUCUUAGAUAUGACGCAGAACACCAAUUGCGAAGGCAGCUCGCUAAACUGUAACUGACGCUGAGGCACGAAAGCGUGGGGAUCAAACAGG
rnacentral:rRNA from 1 species